rnacentral:rRNA from 1 species
UUCCCCGUUCGGGGGGACAGGGUGACAGGUGGUGCAUGGUUGUCGUCAGCUCGUGUCGUGAGAUGUUGGGUUAAGUCCCGCAACGAGCGCAACCCUCGACCUUAGUUGCCAGCAUUCAGUUGGGCACUCUAAGGUGACUGCCGGCUAAAAGUCGGAGGAAGGUGGGGAUGACGUCAAAUCAUCAUGCCCCUUAUGACCUGGGCUACACACGUGCUACAAUGGGCGGUACAAAGGGUCGCGAACCCGCGAGGGGGAGCCAAUCCCAAAAAGCCGCUCUCAGUUCGGAUUGCAGGCUGCAACUCGCCUGCAUGAAGCCGGAAUCGCUAGUAAUCGCGGAUCAGCAUGCCGCGGUGAAUACGUUCCCGGGCCUU